AUUGAUGAUGCUAUAUAUUCCGGAACUGAUAUUUCCAAAACACAAUGUAAACAGCAUGCAUGUGAAAACUUCUUGCGCGGUACAUUGGCGAACAAAUUAAAUGAACGAUCUGCAGAAAAUGUUUCAACAUCAAAAUUUAAUGGACCCUCGGAGGAGAAAUUCCCAUAGGUAUAUUUCGUUUCAAUAGGAAUGCAUUUCUUGAUUAAUCAAUGGGAGCUACACUAGCUACAGUAUUAAGUUACAAGACAACCGAUUAAGGAAAUUUAAGAAAUCAUAAGAAUUUUUGAUGAUUUUUUUUUUGAUAUUUUUAGUGUUAUUAAUUAUAAAUAUAUUACUACUUGUUUA